rnacentral:pre_miRNA from 1 species
GAUUUCAACUGAAAAAUUCAUCAAUAACAAAGUGAUAUAACUCAUCAAUAUCUAUAACUUUUAUUUGGGUCAUUUCUUCAUCUGACAAAGUGGUUUGUAACAUUGUUUACAAAAUGUGUAUAUCUCUUAUAUAAUUUAACUAUAAGAGAGAGAUGUAAAUUUUGUGAACAAUGUUAUUAUUACUUUGUCAGAUGAAGAAAUUACAAAAAUAAAAGUUGUAGAUAUUGAUGAGUUAUACAACUUUGUUAUUGAUGACUUUUUUAGUUGAAAUC